rnacentral:sRNA from 1 species
ACACGGCGGAGUGCGGAGCCGCCCGUAAGAUGCUCUGACCUUUGACCCCUGCCGUUCAGCUCUAGGGCCCGUGCAGGCCACACCAUGAACACCUCCCCAGGCACGGUGGGCAGUGACCCGGUCAUCCUGGCCACUGCAGGCUACGACCACACCGUGCGCUUCUGGCAGGCCCACAGCGGCAUCUGCACCCGGACGGUGCAGCACCAGGACUCCCAGGUGAAUGCCUUGGAGAUCACACCGGACCGCAGCAUGAUUGCUGCUGCAGGUUACCAGCACAUCCGCAUGUAUGAUCUCAACUCCAAUAACCCUAACCCCAUCAUCAGCUACGACGGCGUCAACAAGAACAUCGCGUCUGUGGGCUUCCACGAAGACGGCCGCUGGAUGUACACGGGCGGCGAGGACUGCACAGCCAGGAUCUGGGACCUCAGGUGUGGUGGGGAGGGGGCCUGCUGCCCGGGGCUGGGGUGGGCUGCUCUGGGAGACCGUUUUAGGUUGGGUUCUCUUCAAGCAGAGGCUGAGACAGGGAGCUUCCUGCGGGCGACUUACUGAGAGAAGUGAGGACAGGAGGAGAGUGAAUUGCAUCAAAGCG